GGGGCCUGCGCGGGACGGGUGGUCCGCCUGGGCGGGGCGCCGGCGGGGACGGCGGCGCUGCCAGCUUGGCUCUUCCCUUCCCGGGAGCGACCUGGCGUCGGCGGCCGCGGUGCCCAAGCCCCCUCCGGGGAAGCUUAGGACGGGCCCCACCGAGGACGAGAAGAUAAAUGGAUUCCCAGCACCCCACAGGCAGUUCACAACUGUCUGUAACUCCAGUUCCAAAAAAUCAGUGCCCCCUUCUGACCUCUGGACAUCAGCCACGAGGGCACUCACUGAACCUCUUCCUCUAGCUGCUGCCAAACUAAGUUGCUGCCUUGAAACACAAUCAAAUUUUUACUGUUCUACACAGCAACAGUAAGCCUCACAUCUUCAUCAACAUCAUCAGCAGAUUUGCUAUAACUUGCAGAAAGAGAAUCUCCUCCAAGUUAAGUGUGGAGAAGGGUUUCUAUUCUCCGUUUUCAGGAGAGUAAAGGCAUCCAGCUGAGGAAUCUGAAGACCACUGGACAGAUGAGACAUCUGAAGAACAAAUCAUCCACAAAAUUGUCUCAAGAAAAUGAGUAAAUUGGCCUAUUGGUAUAUGACAUUCCAACAUUGGCCUAUUGGUAUAUGACAUUCCAACAGAAUAAAAUUUUAUGAAU